UACGAAGGGGGCUAGCGUUGUUCGGAAUUACUGGGCGUAAAGCGCACGUAGGCGGAUACUUAAGUCAGGGGUGAAAUCCCGGGGCUCAACCCCGGAACUGCCUUUGAUACUGAGGGUCUUGAGUUCGGGAGAGGUGAGUGGAACUGCGAGUGUAGAGGUGAAAUUCGUAGAUAUUCGCAAGAACACCAGUGGCGAAGGCGGCUCACUGGCCCGAUACUGACGCUGAGGUGCGAAAGCGUGGGGAGCAAACAGG
rnacentral:rRNA from 1 species